rnacentral:rRNA from 1 species
GCCAUCAUUUAAAGAAAGCGUAAUAGCUCACUGGUCGAGUCGGCCUGCGCGGAAGAUGUAACGGGGCUAAACCAUGCACCGAAGCUGCGGCAGCAACAUUUCGAUGUUGUUGGGUAGGGGAGCGUUCUGUAAGCCUGCGAAGGUGUGCUGUGAGGCAUGCUGGAGGUAUCAGAAGUGCGAAUGCUGACAUAAGUAACGAUAAAGCGGGUGAAAAACCCGCUCGCCGGAAGACCAAGGGUUCCUGUCCAACGUUAAUCGGGGCAGGGUGAGUCGACCCCUAAGGCGAGGCCGAAAGGCGUAGUCGAUGGGAAACGGGUUAAUAUUCCCGUACUCGGUGUUACUGCGAAGGGGGGACGGAGAAGGCUAGACCGGCCGGGCGACGGUUGUCCCGGUUCAAGCGUGUAGGUGGGAAGAAUUGGUAAAUCCGUUCUUCUGUGAACACUGAGGCGUGAUAACGAGGCACUACGGUGCUGAAGUGGUUGAUGCCCUGCUUCCAGGAAAAGCCUCUAAGCAUCAGGUAACAGUGAAUCGUACCCCAAACCGACACAGGUGGUCAGGUAGAGAAUACUCAGGCGCUUGAGAGAACUCGGGUGAAGGAACUAGGCAAAAUGGUGCCGUAACUUCGGGAGAAGGCACGCUGGCGUUAGGUGAAGGGACUUGCUCCCGGAGCCGAAGCCAGUCGCAGAUACCAGCUGGCUGCAACUGUUUAAUAAAAACACAGCACUGUGCAAACACGAAAGUGGACGUAUACGGUGUGACGCCUGCCCGGUGCUGGAAGGUUAAUUGAUGGGGUUAGCGGCAACGCGAAGCUCUUGAUCGAAGCCCCAGUAAACGGCGGC